rnacentral:rRNA from 1 species
UGGGGAAUAUUGGACAAUGGGGGCAACCCUGAUCCAGCAAUGCCGCGUGUGUGAAGAAGGCCUGAGGGUUGUAAAGCACUUUCAGUGGGGAGGAGGAUUGCCAGGUUAAGAGCUAGGUAAUUGGACGUUACCCACAGAAGAAGCACCGGCUAACUCCGUGCCAGCAGCCGCGGUAAUACGGAGGGUGCGAGCGUUAAUCGGAAUUACUGGGCGUAAAGGGUGCGUAGGUGGUAUGGUAAGUUAUCUGUAAAAUCCCUGGGCUCAACCUGGGCAGGUCAGAUAAUACUGCUGUACUCGAGUAUGGGAGAGGGUAGUGGAAUUUCCGGUGUAGCGGUGAAAUGCGUAGAGAUCGGAAGGAACACCAGUGGCGAAGGCGGCUACCUGGCCUAAUACUGACACUGAGGCACGAAAGCGUGGGGAGCAAACAGG